rnacentral:misc_RNA from 1 species
AUGCUCGAGCUGCUCGCGCGGCGAGAGCGGGCCGCCGCGUGCCGGCCGGGGGACGGACCGGCGGCCCCCUCGGGGCCUUCCCCGGGCGUCGAACAACCGACUCAGAACUGAAUCCAAGCUAGCAACCGGCGCCUCUGCUCGCCGCCCGCCCCGACCCACGUUAGGGCGUUCGCGCCCCAAGGGCCCGUGCCAUUGGCUCAGCCCGCCCGGCCGACGCGCCGCGGCGGGCCGCCUCGAAGCUCCCUUCCCAACGGGCGGCGUGCUGAAUCCUUUGCAGACGACUUAAAACGCGACGGGGCAUUGCAGAACUCCCCGAAGUCCUGGGAGGGGUAUGCCCCUCAGGUCUCCUCGGCCGAGCCCCGCACCCCCUCGCGGCCUAGCCGUGGCCGUCGGCACCCUACCGCGCCCAGCUCCGGCUGGCGCUGUUGGCUGCCUGGCCGGCCGUGGUUCGGCCGUGACGCAGCCACGACCGGCUAUGGCUGGCUACCGCCGGCCAGACGCCCUGGACGAGUGGCUGCACCGUGGGAUGGCCCGUUGCUCGAUGCGUUUUCCGUUUCUCCCGCGCUCGGUGGACCUUCGUCGCCGUCCUCGCAAGCAGACCCGCCGCGCCCAGCGCGGAGGGAUGCUUUGGAUGGCCCGACCGUAGCGGCUACGCUGGCGCAUGAGUUGUCUUGGACCCGUGACUGCUUGGAGGACCCCCGCUGCCGUGCGGCCGACUCCCGCGCCCGUGUCCCCGAUCCGCUCGCGCCCAUCCUGUGCCUGCUGCGUUGA